GGUUCAGCAUCGGGGACGACGACGAUCACGAGGACGAUGACGACGAGGAUGAUGACAUGGAGGCCGCGAAGCGUGGCUACGGGCACGUGGUCAGCGGCACAAAACCCAUGGAGGUAGAGAGGUAGUAGUAAAACUGGAGCCGUAUACCGUAUGAAAGGAAGGAACGGUCAAGAUGCAUGGUCGUAUUUAUAUACAUACAACGGUCAAGAUGUAUGUGUUGUAGAUUGUAUAGUUCUUUCACUUUGGUGGAUUUGGUUUCACCGAGUGAACUGACCCGUAAAUGCGGGUGAAGUUCGUGUUUGGUCACUUUAAAUUUGUUGGAGAUUUGUUUGUUUAUUUAGGCUGGAUUGUUGUUCCUGAUCGUCGGAGUACAAUGGAUUCAUUGGCUGGCUUGUGGAUGGAGAGUGGACUUGCAACGUCUUUUGUGUUCUUGAUGAUUGUACCUUAAAGCUUGCCGGAAAUGACUUCUUUUAGGCCCGGCAGUCGUCGCCGGCGCUUUCCUUCGUCGCUGUUCCUUCUCAGCAACCCCCGAGCCCAAUCCAUCGUGUCGAUGUCUGGUGUUACUUGCUAGCUUCGUCUUGCUUAUCUGUCUGCUGGUUUGCUGGGAUCACUGUGUCAUUUAUGUUAGAACUUAAUUAAUUAAGUUAAUUAAGGAUUAAUUCCUGUAUUGUCGGUUGCCAUAUGUUGCAACCAUUAACUGUAACUGCCUGUACUUACCGACUUUGUAUUCGGUAUAUAUAUCCGUAAUCUUAAAUCAAUAAGAUGACUGUUCAUU
rnacentral:lncRNA from 1 species